CAGACACGUCGAGCAGGUACGAAAGUAGGUCUUAGUGAUCCGGUGGUUCUGUAUGGAAGGGCCAUCGCUCAACGGAUAAAAGGUCCUCCGGGGAUAACAGGCUGAUACCGCCCAAGAGUUCAUAUCGACGGCGGUGUUUGGCACCUCGAUGUCGGCUCAUCACAUCCUGGGGCUGAAGCNAUCACAUCCUGGGGCUGAAGCCGGUCCCAAGGGUAUGGCUGUUCGCCAUUUAAAGUGGUACGCGAGCUGGGUUUAGAACGUCGUGAGACAGUUCGGUCCCUAUCUGCCGUGGACGUUUGAGAUUUGAGAGGGGCUGCUCCUAGUACGAGAGGACCGGAGUGGACGAACCUCUGGUGUUCCGGUUGUCACGCCAGUGGCAUUGCCGGGUAGCUAUGUUCGG
rnacentral:rRNA from 1 species